ensembl:ncRNA Y47D3B.16 ncRNA
GGAUCUGACGAGAUGUUAUUUUUAGCCCCGGCCCCCCACCCGGGCUUGUGAUUUUUUUCCGGGCUCAUUUUGUAGUCCGGGGAGCCAAAAAUUUUGAAUUCGUCGCCAAGUUGGGCUGCGG